rnacentral:rRNA from 1 species
GUGCUGCGGCGUGCUUACCAUGCAAGUCGAACGAUGAACCCGCUUCGGUGGGGGAUUAGUGGCGAACGGGUGAGUAACACGUGGGCAAUCUGCCCUGCACUCUGGGACAAGCCCUGGAAACGGGGUCUAAUACCGGAUACUGAUCUGCCUGGGCAUCCAGGCGGUUCGAAAGCUCCGGCGGUGCAGGAUGAGCCCGCGGCCUAUCAGCUUGUUGGUGAGGUAAUGGCUCACCAAGGCGACGACGGGUAGCCGGCCUGAGAGGGCGACCGGCCACACUGGGACUGAGACACGGCCCAGACUCCUACGGGAGGCAGCAGUGGGGAAUAUUGCACAAUGGGCGAAAGCCUGAUGCAGCGACGCCGCGUGAGGGAUGACGGCCUUCGGGUUGUAAACCUCUUUCAGCAGGGAAGAAGCGAAAGUGACGGUACCUGCAGAAGAAGCGCCGGCUAACUACGUGCCAGCAGCCGCGGUAAUACGUAGGGCGCGAGCGUUGUCCGGAAUUAUUGGGCGUAAAGAGCUCGUAGGCGGCUUGUCACGUCGGUUGUGAAAGCCCGGGGCUUAACCCCGGGUCUGCAGUCGAUACGGGCAGGCUAGAGUUCGGUAGGGGAGAUCGGAAUUCCUGGUGUAGCGGUGAAAUGCGCAGAUAUCAGGAGGAACACCGGUGGCGAAGGCGGAUCUCUGGGCCGAUACUGACGCUGAGGAGCGAAAGCGUGGGGAGCGAACAGGAUUAGAUACCCUGGUAGUCCACGCCGUAAACGGUGGGCACUAGGUGUGGGCGACAUUCCACGUCGUCCGUGCCGCAGCUAACGCAUUAAGUGCCCCGCCUGGGGAGUACGGCCGCAAGGCUAAAACUCAAAGGAAUUGACAGGGGCCCGCACAAGCGGCGGAGCAUGUGGCUUAAUUCGACGCAACGCGAAGAACCUUACCAAGGCUUGACAUACACCGGAAACGUCCAGAGA